UACGGAGGGGGCUAGCGUUGUUCGGAAUUACUGGGCGUAAAGCGCACGUAGGCGGCUUUGUAAGUUAGAGGUGAAAGCCCAGGGCUCAACCCUGGAAUUGCCUUUAAGACUGCAUCGCUAGAAUUGUGGAGAGGUAAGUGGAAUUCCGAGUGUAGAGGUGAAAUUCGUAGAUAUUCGGAAGAACACCAGUGGCGAAGGCGGCCAUCUGGACCGCAACUGACGCUGAGGCGCGAAAGCGUGGGGAGCAAACAGG
rnacentral:rRNA from 1 species